AUUGAACGCUGGCGGCAUGCCUUACACAUGCAAGUCGAACGGUAACAGGUCUUCGGAUGCUGACGAGUGGCGAACGGGUGAGUAAUAUAUCGGAACGUGCCCAGUCGUGGGGGAUAACGCAGCGAAAGCUGUGCUAAUACCGCAUACGAUCUAUGGAUGAAAGCGGGGGAUCGCAAGACCUCGCGCGAUUGGAGCGGCCGAUAUCAGAUUAGGUAGUUGGUGGGGUAAAGGCCCGACCAAGCCAACGAUCUGUAGCUGGUCUGAGAGGACGACCAGCCACACUGGAACUGAGACACGGUCCAGACUCCUACGGGAGGCAGCAGUGGGGAAUUUUGGACAAUGGGCGCAAGCCUGAUCCAGCAAUGCCGCGUGCAGGAUGAAGGCCUUCGGGUUGUAAACUGCUUUGUACGGAACGAAAGGCUACUGGUUAUACUGGGCGUCAUGACGUACCGUAAGAAUAAGCACCGGCUAACUACGUGCC
rnacentral:rRNA from 1 species